rnacentral:rRNA from 1 species
GGCCGCGGGAAUUCGAUUCAGGCCUAACACAUGCAAGUCGAGCGGUAGAGAGAAGCUUGCUUCUCUUGAGAGCGGCGGACGGGUGAGUAAUGCCUAGGAAUCUGCCUGGUAGUGGGGGAUAACGUUCGGAAACGGACGCUAAUACCGCAUACGUCCUACGGGAGAAAGCAGGGGACCUUCGGGCCUUGCGCUAUCAGAUGAGCCUAGGUCGGAUUAGCUAGUUGGUGAGGUAAUGGCUCACCAAGGCUACGAUCCGUAACUGGUCUGAGAGGAUGAUCAGUCACACUGGAACUGAGACACGGUCCAGACUCCUACGGGAGGCAGCAGUGGGGAAUAUUGGACAAUGGGCGAAAGCCUGAUCCAGACGAUGCCGCGUGUGUGAAGAAGGUCUUCGGAUUGUAAAGAAAUGGAAGUUGGGAGGAAGGGCAUUAACCUAAUACGUUAGUGUUUGACGUACCGACA